ensembl:lncRNA
CACCCGCCAUGCCGCCCGCGCUCACCGCGCCGCGCCCGGAAGUGACGCACGCAGGCUCCGCGGGCCCGCCCCCGACAGGCCCCGCCCUGCGAGCGCCGAGCCCUCCCCUCCCCCGGAAGUGCAGCCUGCGGGACUUCCGGCUCCCGCUGCGGCCUCGGGGCUCUGUGCUGUGGGGUUCCGCGCGCCCGGGCAGCGAGGGCUGGGCGCCAUGUUUGCGAAAAGGGGCUGCAGCACCAACCCCUGGGCCUCUCGGCACCUGGCCCUCAGGCGAGGGGAGUCUGACUUCUCCAGAAGGGCGUCCCCGCGCCCUCCUGAGGGAGACUCUGCAGCUCUGUGGUUGAGGAACCUCAGAAACAGGGUUUCUGGCCCCUUGGCCCUGGGUUCCUGGACCUUGAAGGAAGCACGGGGAGCUGAGAGAAAAGCAGGGCUGGACGUCACUUUAAGCGCCGAAAACAUCCCCGUCAGGACCCUUGACGUAGCGCGCAAGAGACCUCAGUGUGGGGCCCUCUGGGUUCACCCAAAUGCCUGUUGACUGAAAAAAAACACACGACCUAAAAGUCGGGAGUUAGGUUUUAUUCCUUGGACAAAACUGAGGACUUAAGCCCAGGACGCAGCAUCUCGGAUAGCUGAGGGACUGCCCCGAAGAGGGAGAGAAGCCACCACCAUGAGAAGCCCAUGCACCGCGGCUAGAGAGUAUCCGCCACUCGCUGCAGCUAGAGAGAAGUCCUGGUGGCGACGAAGGCCCACACAGCAAAAUGCAUAUAUUUGAGAGUCACUGAGGUUGUAGAGACCGCUUUUGGUUGCACCACGUGGCAUGUGGGACCUUAGUUCCCCGACCAGGGAUUGAACCCGCGUCUGCUGCAUUGGAAGUGCGGAGUCUUAACCACUGGACCUCUCGGGAACUCCCUGACUAGGGCCUUUGAGCCCCUCGUGGUGUGCCAGGCGCCUCUGCCCUCACGAGCCCCUCUGGGCCAGCCGUCCACGGCCGAGGGCAUGAUGACAGCUGGCAUUUAUUUGGCACUUAGUGUGCGCCAGGAGUUGUGCUCAGUGCUUUCCUGCAGUAACGUGUUUAAUCUCAACCCCACUGAGUAGACACGUUACCAUCCCUGUCAUAUAGACGGUAGGUUCAGGCUCGCCGGACUCGCCCAAGGCCACACAGCUGAGAGGGGUGGAAUCUGGCCUUCCGAAUUUUACCCUUGAUUACUGGUCUCAUGAUGCGCUCGCCCAGGCUUGUGGGAUCUUCGCUUCCUGACCAGGGAUAGAAGCCACAGCCCCUGUGUUGGAAGCCUCCUGACUGCAGGCACUCAGGCAGCUGAAACCUGGACCAGCAAGACUUCCAGGUAUCGCAGUCUUGGAACAGGAACAAAACCCUGGGACUCCCUGAAAUUCUGACUUUUCUUGAGGGAAACAAACACCAUCGACACCGAGCCCAGUUUAUAAGGGUCUGGGGAGUGUUUCACCGGAAAGGGCGUAAAUCCUCUUCCCCAGGCCGGGAGUGGAAGCAGCACCUGCUCGUGGAGGCCGGUGCCAUCUCUCCGGCCAGGUGCCCGCGCGGUGCCAUCUCCGGCCAGGUGCCCGCGCAUGGCCUGGCGGUGCCCCCGGCUGUGGAGCUUUAUGUCAGCAGGAGUAUUUUUAUUUAAUGUCAUAUGGUAAACA